GUUGGGUGUGGUGGCACACACGUGUAAUCCCAGCAACUUGGGAGGCUGAGGCAGGAGGAUCACAAGUUUGAGGCCAGCCUCAGCAAUUUCGGGAGGCUCUCAGCAACAUAGCAAGACCCUGUCUCAA
rnacentral:sRNA from 1 species